CCUACAAGUUAGCCGCCCCAACCCCACCAACUUCAUUUUCCCCCCCCCCAACUAAACCAUUCGCCAAACCAAGUAUCGGAGAGAGAACCGUUUCCCCGCGCAAUAGCCAACAGUACUACAAAGGAACACUGAAAGAACAUUAACUACUUAAGCACGAAACAGCAGGGCUCCAAACCCGUACCUCCUGCAUCAUGGUUUAACCAGUCCCCCCAGAUGAAGCGCACUAAAACCUGCCCCCCCGAACCCAGACGAUCUACCCCCGGGCAAUCAUUACGGAUGCACCCCCCCCUGUGGCAAAAGGGCGGGAAGACCUUGCGGUAGCGGUGAAAUGCCAAUCGCGCCUGGCGAUAGCUGGUUGCUCACUAAAUGAAUUUCAGUUCUACUCUAGCCUCGCCACCCCAGCCAUCCUCCUGACUUGUUCUAACCUAGAAGCUAGACAAGUAGGGACCAGCCUACUUGUAACCGGAUACAGCCCCCAUUGGAGAACCAGAGACCCAACACCCCUUCCCCCGUAGGCCUUUAAGCAGCCACCCAAAAGAACCGCGUCAAAGCGACCAAUAAGAAAAACAAGCGACGCCCCCUCAAUCCCCAACAAACACCUGAGCCACCCUAGAACCCCCCCCCCNNGGGGAACCACUGUUAAAACUAGUAAUUUGAACCCCUUCUCUCCCGCACACCCUUACACCGGCACGGAUUACGCCACCGGUAAUUACCAACCCCAACACACCCCAACACUGUCACCCCAACACAGGCGUGCUUUAGAGAACUUCGACAAAAUUUCGCAGAAGGAACUCGGCUAAUAUGCCCCACCUGUUUACCAAAAACAUCGCCUUUAGCCUAACAAGUAUUAAAGGUCCCGCCUGCCCAGUGAUCCACUUUAACGGCCGCGGUACUCUAACCGUGCAAAGGUAGCGCAAUCACUUGCCCCCCAAAUAGGGGCCCGUAUGAAUGGCUAAAUGAGGGCCUAACUGUCUCCUGCGAAAAGCCAAUGAAACUGCUCUCCCAGUACAAAAGCUGGGAUACCCACACAAGACGAGAAGACCCUGUGGAGCUUUAANNGGCCCCCCCCCCCCACAACCCAUGGUGCCUCCUUUAAGUUGGGGCAACUGCGGGGAAAAACCUAACCCCCGUGAACCAGGACCAACACUCCGCCCCAGGCCCACACGCCAAAGGCAAACCACCACAGACCCAGCACAGCUGAACACCGAACCAAGUUACCCCAGGGAUAACAGCGCCAUCCCCCUCAAGAGUCCAUAUCGCCAGGGGGGUUUACGACCUCGAUGUUGGAUCAGGACACCCCGGCAGUGCAGCCGCNNCCAACGGUUCGUUUGUUCAACGACUAAC
rnacentral:rRNA from 1 species